rnacentral:rRNA from 1 species
GACGAACGCUGGCGGCGUGCUUAACACAUGCAAGUCGAGCGGAAAGGCCCCUUGUGGGUACUCGAGCGGCGAACGGGUGAGUAACACGUGAGUAAUCUGCCCUUCACUUCAGGAUAGCUCCCGGAAACGGGGAUUAAUACUGGAUAUGACACAUUCGCGCAUGUGGGUGUGUGGAAAGUUUUUUCGGUGGGGGAUGUGCUCGCGGCCUGUCAGCGUGAUGGUGGGGUAAUGGCCUACCAUGGCUUCGACGGGUAGCCGGCCUGAGAGGGUGACCGGUCACACUGGGACUGAGACACGGCCCAGACUCCUACGGGAGGCAGCAGUGGGGAAUAUUGGACAAUGGGCGGAAGCCUGAUCCAGCAACGCCGCGUGAGGGAUGACGGCCUUCGGGUUGUAAACCUCCUUCAGCACAGACGAAGCGCAAGUGACGGUAUGUGCAGAAGAAGGAUCGGCCAACUACGUGCCAGCCGCCGCAGUAACAC